rnacentral:rRNA from 1 species
UACGAAGGGGGCUAGCGUUGCUCGGAAUCACUGGGCGUAAAGCGCACGUAGGCGGCUUUCUAAGUCAGGGGUGAAAUCCUGGAGCUCAACUCCAGAACUGCCUUUGAUACUGGAGAGCUUGAGUCCGGAAGAGGUGAGUGGAACUCCGAGUGUAGAGGUGAAAUUCGUAGAUAUUCGGAAGAACACCAGUGGCGAAGGCGGCUCUCUGGGACGGUACUGACGCUGAGACGCGAAAGCGUGGGGAGCAAACAGGG